rnacentral:lncRNA from 12 species
UCAGAUCUCACCAGCUGGUCCCUUGGAAGCUACUAUUAUACUCUCUAAUCAACUCAGAAACUGGGCAGAUAUGAGGCUUUGGUUAAAGUCCAAAGAUUCAGCAGUGAUGAGAAAAUCAUGAGCUAUGGUAGUUAGACUUUUGGGAUCCUCUCCUACCAACAACUGUGCUACCAGGUCUUACUACUUCUUCCAAAACCUUGUGACUCCAAAGUCCCUGAGCAGGCCGCUGCUUGUUCUGGCCAGAGAGCAGAGCCACCCACCAGGUGCCUGCAGUCUCCUACCCAAAAGGGAAGAAUCAAGAAUAAUGAAAGCACAGGACUAGAAGCACAUUAAGCAUGAAAUGAAACUCCUUAUCAAAGAGUGAAGGUUCAUCUUUUGAAUAGCUUUUCUUUAUUUCAACAGUCAGUGAAGUCUUUGCUUUGUAGAAUGGAAGGAAGUUGUUGGCGAAUAAAAAUACAUUUAAAACAUGCA